UGGGGAAUUUUGGACAAUGGGGGCAACCCUGAUCCAGCCAUCCCGCGUGUGCGAUGAAGGCCUUCGGGUUGUAAAGCACUUUUGGCAGGGAAGAAACAGCCUGGGCUAAUAUCCCGGGCGACUGACGGUACCUGCAGAAUAAGCACCGGCUAACUACGUGCCAGCAGCCGCGGUAAUACGUAGGGUGCAAGCGUUAAUCGGAAUUACUGGGCGUAAAGCGUGCGCAGGCGGUUCGGAAAGAAAGGUGUGAAAUCCCAGGGCUUAACCUUGGAACUGCACUUUUAACUACCGGGCUAGAAUACGUCAGAGGGGGGUAGAAUUCCACGUGUAGCAGUGAAAUGCGUAGAGAUGUGGAGGAAUACCGAUGGCGAAGGCAGCCCCCUGGGAUGAUACUGACGCUCAUGCACGAAAGCGUGGGGAGCAAACA
rnacentral:rRNA from 1 species